UAUUAAAGUUAAAAUGGAAUAUCAAAGAAGUUGAUCUGAUCCUCGCUCCGUCAAGGCCGGUCUACAGUUUCUGGUUGGCAGGAUCGCCAAUAUCGCCAAUACUUGAAGAAAGGCCGCUAUUUAUUGGAGCUCCGGUUUAUAUGGCUGCUGUCCUCAAGUACCUUGCUGAUGAGGUAUAAAAACUCUUCUCAACUCAAUAUUUGCACGCAUUCCAAAUUUCAUAUAGAUUAUUGCUGUAAAGGUAAUUUUUUGUUGAAUUAUUAUGUACCUCAUGAGUUUUGUUCAAUCCUUAGCUUUGUGGCAAGUUAACUGGUACUAAUUAAUUAGAGAAGAACAGUAAUUGAACUAUAGUAUUAAAAUUCCUCUUUGAUUUCAGUUGGUUUUUAUGAAUUACACGAGCCAAUAUCUCUUUAUUGUGUGGAUGAUUACCUUGGGAGAGAUUAGAUUAAGCACUUGGAUUUAGGGUUUUUUAAUUGACGUGGCUGUUUUUUGUUCCUUUGUUUGUUUAUAGCAUUUGGUAGGUUCUUUAUUUUCUCAUUGUAAAUGUUCUACGUCGACAAAGACUACUUAGAGAUCCCGAAGUCAUGACUUCUUACAGGGAAUUGUCAAAGAAAGCACAGAAAGCAAAUAACUUAGGGUGGCGUUUAAGCUGUUUGCUCGGGGAUCAAAAUCGCUUGUUUAUGUAUAUUUUGCUUCAAGCUGUAUUCACGGUGGCAACUAUGGCACGUACGGUCCCCAUAUUCUUGUCUUACGAUUUGCAUGUCAUUUUCCAAAUACUCAAAAGUUUCUGCAUCCGUAUGGAACGGAGGAAACUUCCUACUCGAAGUGAUGCCACGGCAAGUCAUUCUCAAAGAGAAGAAGAAAAUCGAGAUGCACCCUAUUGAGAAACCACGAGAUCAAUCAGCACUCGAGAACUCAAUGGACGCAAAUAAUUCUUCUGCAAUACUCAAAUCUUAGCAGGUGUGCACAAAUAAAUUGUCUUGUAAAACUGUUUUCUCUUUCUCUGAUGUCUGUUGGUGUGAACGUAGGCUGAUUUAUUUGCUUUGCUCUAAAGAAAUUUCCUUUUUCUACAUGCUAUAUAUUUUGAUAUGGCCUGAUUUAUAAACUAGGUGAAAUGAAAUGUGAAAUUAUGCUUCCUUUUCAAGUCUUGGAAUUGGAACUUAAUUUGAAGACUUGAUAAGUUGCUAGAUUUAAGGAUUCAUGCUGGACUCUGGUAUUGUGAUAAUUGUUUAGAAGCAUCUGCUUAUAUAUGCUGUUUUUGGCCAUUUAUGGCAGAUAAGACAGACGGCUUUUUAUUAGUAGAUCACUUCGACUUAUGACUUUUGAUCACUUUAUUAUGUUUUAUUAUUUUCCUCUGUGUUUUUGUCUUCAACCUUGCAAUGCACAAGGUUGUGUAGAGCAGUUUGUCAUAGCGGGAUAAUGUGCUGACAGAGACCAAUUUUGACCUAUAAAAGAAAAGAGGAAGUAAGGAGUUACAAAGAUAUACUAAGUUACUGAUUUCCACCUUGGUCACAUUCUCUCAAGAUAUAUCGAAUUGUACAAUUAAAGACUUGUAUUUUCUAUUUAAGAUCCGUUUUUGGAAAAUCAAAAGUUGUUUCAGAAAUUAAGAAACUACUUUUGAACCAAUGAGGACAAUUUUUUGAAGGUGUUUUCUCUUAUUAGAAAAGCUUUUAAAAGAAAAUUGUUUAAGGUAACUUUCUUGAGAAGUUCUUCUGUAAGAAGCAGAAGCAAAAGCAAAAGCAAAAGUUAAAGCUAUGCCUAAAGGGUCCGUAUGAUUAUUGUUAUUUUUUCGUUUUUGGUGGAACUUAGAAUUUAAUAAAUUCGAGUAAAGUAAUGUUUCUAUUCGGCAUCAAUUUGUGUCACAUUGAAAGAUGGAUUCAAUUAAACGGGUCUUAGAUUCUUAACAUUUAAUGGAACAUAUCAUUUAAGCCCCGUUUGGCCCCCAUUCUUAACAGAAGGCUUUUUAUUAGUAGAUCACUUCGACUUAUGACUUUUGAUCACUUUAUUAUGUUUUAUUAUUUUCCUCUGUGUUUUUGUCUUCAAACUUGCAAUGCACAAGGUUGUGUAGAGCAAUUUGUCAUUGCAGGAUAAUGUGCUGACAAAGACCAAUUUUGACCUGUAAAAGAAAGAGGAAGUAAGGAGUUACAAAGAUAUACUGAGUUACUGAUUUCCACCUUGGUCACAUUCUCUCAAAAUAUAUCGAAUUGUACAAUUAAAGACCUGUAUUUUCUAUUUAAGAUCUGUUUUUGGAAAAUCAAAAGCUGUUUCAGAGAUUAAGAAACUACUUUUGAACCUAUGAGGACAAUUUUUUGAAGGUGUUUUGUCUUAUUAGAAAAGCUUUUAAAAGAAAAUUGUUUAAUGUAACUUUCUUGAGAAGUUCUUCUGUAAGAAGUAGAAACAAAAGCAAAAGUUAAAGCUAUGCCAAAAGGGUCUGUAUCAUCAUUGUUAUUUUUUUUUGUUUUUGGUGGAACUUAGAAUUUGAUAUAUUCGAGUAAAGUAAUGUUUUUAUUCGGCAUCAAUUUGUGUCACAUUGAAAGAUGGAUUCAAUUAAACGGGUCUUAGAUUCUUAACAUUUAAUGGAACAUAUCAUUUAAGCCCCGUUUGGCCCCCAUUCUUGACAGAAGGCUUUUUAUCAGUAGAUCACUUCGACUUAUGGCUUUUGAUCACUUUAUUAUGUUUUAUUAUUUUUCUUCUGUGUUUUUGUCUUCAACCUUGCAAUGCACAAGGUUGUGUAGAGCAGUUUGUCAUAGCAGGAUAAUGUGCUGACAGAGACCAAUUUUGACCUGUAAAAGAAAAGAGGAAGUAAGGAGUUAACAAAGAUAUACUGAGUUAUUGAUUUCCACCUUGGUCACAUUCUCUCAAGAUAUAUCGAAUUGUACAAUUAAAGACCUGUAUUUUGUAUUUAAGAUCUGUUUUUGGAAAAUCAAAAGUUGUUUCAGAGAUUAAGAAACUACUUUUGAACCUAUGAGGACAAUUUUUUGAAGGUGUUUUCUCUUAUUAGAAAAGCUUUUAAAAGAAAAUUGUUUAAUGUAACUUUCUUGAGAAGUUCUUCUGUAAGAAGUAGAAACAAAAGCAAAAGUUAAGGCUAUGCCAAAAGGGUUUGUAUCA